rnacentral:rRNA from 1 species
AUUGAACGCUGGCGGCAUGCUUUACACAUGCAAGUCGAACGGUGUGAGGAGCUUGCUCCUCAUCUAGUGGCGAACGGGUGAGUAAUACAUCGGAACGUACCGUGUAGUGGGGGAUAACGUAGCGAAAGUUACGCUAAUACCGCAUACGAUCUACGGAUGAAAGCAGGGGACCUUCGGGCCUUGUGCUAUACGAGCGGCCGAUGUCUGAUUAGCUAGUUGGUGAGGUAAAGGCUCACCAAGGCGACGAUCAGUAGCGGGUCUGAGAGGAUGAUCCGCCACACUGGGACUGAGACACGGCCCAGACUCCUACGGGAGGCAGCAGUGGGGAAUUUUGGACAAUGGGCGCAAGCCUGAUCCAGCCAUGCCGCGUGUCUGAAGAAGGCCUUCGGGUUGUAAAGGACUUUUGUCAGGGAGCAAAACUUACUGGUUAAUACCCGGUGAGGCUGAGAGUACCUGAAGAAUAAGCACCGGCUAACUACGUGCCAGCCGCCGCCGUAAUAC